CUAAACGGGAGGCNGCCGUAGGGAAUCUUCCGCAAUGGACGAAAGUCUGACGGAGCAACGCCGCGUGAGCGAAGAAGGCCUUCGGGUCGUAAAGCUCUGUUGUUAGGGAAGAACAAGUAUCGUUCGAAUAGGGCGGUACCUUGACGGUACCUAACCAGAAAGCCACGGCUAACUACGUGCCAACAGCCGCGGUAAUACGUAGGUGGCAAGCGUUAUCCGGAAUUAUUGGGCGUAAAGCGCGCGCAGGCGGUCCUUUAAGUCUGAUGUGAAAGCCCACGGCUCAACCGUGGAGGGUCAUUGGAAACUGGGGGACCUUGAUGCAAAAGAGGAAACCGUAAUUCCCCGUGUAAUCGUGAAAUGCGGAGAGAUGUGGAGGAACACCAUUGGCCGAGGCGGCUCUCCGGUCUGUAACUGACGCUGAGGCGCCAAAACCUGGGGAGCCCAACGGAUUAGAUACCCUGGUAGAUCCCGCCGUAAACAAUGAAUGCCUAGUGGUAAAAGGUUUCCCCCCUUAGUGCUGCACCCAAC
rnacentral:rRNA from 1 species